AAUGAACGCUGGCGGCGCGCCUAAUACAUGCAAGUCGAGCGAGAAGACGUAGCAAUACGUUUGUAAAGCGGCGAACGGGUGAGGAAUACAUGGGUAACCUACCCUCGAGUGGGGAAGUAACUAGCCGAAGGUUAGCUAAUACCGCGUACGCUUCUUGGACUUCGGUUCAGGGAGGAAAGCGAUGCCGAGGGUAUCGCGCUCUUGGAUGGGCUCAUGUCCUAUCAGCUUGUUGGGAGGUAACGGCUCACCAAGGCUUCGACGGGUAGCUGGUCUGAGAGGACGAUCAGCCACACUGGCACUGCGCACGGGCCAGACUCCUACGGGAGGCAGCAGUAAGGAAUAUUGCGCAAUGGGCGAAAGCCUGACGCAGCGACGCCGGCGUGGGGGA
rnacentral:rRNA from 1 species